rnacentral:rRNA from 1 species
UGAGUCCAAGCAAUGGAUAUCUUGGUUCCCACAACGAUGAAGAACGCAGCGAAAUGCGAUACGUAAUGUGAAUUGCAGGGUUAAGUGAAUCAUCAAAUGUUUGAACGCAAGUUGCGCCUUUUGCGAGGCAUGCUUCUUUGAGUGUCAUUU